rnacentral:rRNA from 1 species
UACGUAGGCAGCAAGCGUUGUUCGGAAUUACUGGGCGUAAAGAGUGUGUAGGCGGUGCUCCAAGUCUGGUGUGAAAUCUCCCGGCUUAACUGGGAGGGUGCAUUAGAAACUGGAAUGCUAGAGGAUGGGAGAGGUAAGCGGAAUUCCUGGUGUAGCGGUGAAAUGCGUAGAUAUCUGAAGGAACAUCAGUGGCGAAAGCGACUUCCUGGACCAAUACUGACGCUCAUGUGCGAAAGCGUGGGGAGCAAACAGG